UGUGGUGCGUAUCUUGAAUGUCAAAACGACUCUCGGCAACGGAUAUCUCGGCUCUCGCAUCGAUGAAGAACGUAGCGAAAUGCGAUACUUGGUGUGAAUUGCAGAAUCCCGUGAACCAUCGAGUCUUUGAACGCAAGUUGCGCCCGAAGCCUUCGGGCCGAGGGCACGCCUGCCUGGGC
rnacentral:rRNA from 1 species